rnacentral:lncRNA from 1 species
CACAAAUGUAUUUACUGGUCGCUUAUUGUUAAAUUAAUUGAUCACAAAUAAUUUCGUGGUCACAAAUCAUUCAAAUUACAAGUCAUAUUUUAUCUAAGGGUCGCAUAUGUUACAAUUUAUUGGUUACAAAUUAUUUUUUAGCCAAAGACACCUAAUAUUUAUUCACAAAUCAAUCAAAUAGUUGGUCACAAACGCCUAAAUAGUUGGUCACUGACAUCCCACCGCCUCACCACCAUCAGCUCAACCACCACGUACAUCCCUGCUACAUCCUUGCACCUUGCUCCAACAACGAGCCACCACCUCCAAUCAACCAACACACUGUCGUAUGCUAAAAUCUACCACACCACCACAGCUACCAUCCCACCAACAAAAUCAUCAAAUUCGCCACUGCAACCAAUGUCACCACCUCAAAAUCACCGCCAAUAUCACCAUCACCAACUAACAAACAUUGUCAACCAAAACACUGCACAACCCGAGCCAAAAUCAGAGUCGUAAAGCCACCACCACUCUUAUGAACACAACCACUAGAUCUACCAAAAAUCCCCAAAUUGUCGCCGCCAUAACCUCC